rnacentral:rRNA from 1 species
UACGUAGGUGGCAAGCGUUGUCCGGAAUUAUUGGGCGUAAAGCGCGCGCAGGCGGUCUUUUAAGUCUGAUGUGAAAGCCCACGGCUCAACCGUGGAGGGUCAUUGGAAACUGGGGGACUUGAGUGCAGGAGAGAAGAGUGGAAUUCCACGUGUAGCGGUGAAAUGCGUAGAGAUGUGGAGGAACACCAGUGGCGAAGGCGACUCUUUGGCCUGUAACUGACACUGAGGCGCGAAAGCGUGGGGAGCAAACAGG